AACAUAUAAGAAAAUACAAAAGAAUCCAUGGUAUUAACCAUGGCUACUAGGCUUAUGAUUUUAUAGGCAUAACAGAGCAUCAUAGGGUUAGGGUUAGGGUUAGGGUUAGGGUUAGGGUUAGGGUUAGGGUUAGGGUUAGGGUUAGGGUUAGGGUUAGGGUUAGGGUUAGGGUUAGGUUUAAUACACAUGCAUGAGUGCUUGAGGAUCAGGAACUGAAGGCCCUUUUCCCUGUGUCCACUCCAUUACAUACCAUGUAUGUAACAAACCCAGCAGCUGCUACAGAACACCACAAACUGUAGAACAAAUAAUGCCUCGAUAAGGCUGGUCACAUGAAGCACACCUGCCCAUUCUGAGGUCAGACAGAAGAACAUGCCCAUCUAGGAAGCAGUUUGAAACAAGUGCACAAAAAUCACUCCUGUUUAAAUUCUGCAGACAAGCAAGGUCCCAAUGGUGGCUGCUAUAGGGCUGUCCCCGUCCAAGGCCCUGUUUGACCAUCCCAGUUUGGGGAGCAGGGCUGGGGCAGUGCUGGUGGGGGCAGCUGCUUCAGAUUCCCAUGGUCAGCAAGAGCCCAUUUUGGCUCAGACACUGUACAAGCCUGUUCCUGCACCCCACCUUGUGUACCAGUCUCCAUCACACAGCACGUCCCCACACCUGCCCAGUUCUCACUGGAGUUUUGGCAGAUUAUUGUCCAGACCUGCCUUGCUCUCGUUUGGGUGCUGUCGGACAGUGACCCUUUUAACUGAAGCCACUGUCACCCAGCAUCCACCCCCGGCUUGCCUCCCUCUGUGCAGCAACCCAGCCUUGCUGCACCCUCACAUGCACAUUUUCAUCAGAAAGCUGACUCUGCACCUUAAGGAUUUUGUUCACAAAGGUGAAUUCAUGAAGUGUUGUUAUGCCAUGUCAGAGAGAAUAGCACAAAAAACAUCCAAUGGCAAAUAAAGGGCAAUUUUUUCGUGUGAGUAGAGGGAAAUUCUGUAUCAGCAAAGUUCUCUUAUAAUAAGAGCUUGUGAAUAAUACUUUUUACCAUCUAUAGCUGGCAAGUAGACUAUGUCCCAUCCUGGCAAGAGAUGACAUAGUCUCAGUAAAACAUGACUUUGUCACCUCUUGGCUGAAUUACAGCAGUACAAAAUAAGGGGAUAUGAAGUCAUCUGCCUUUAUAGCUCUGUUAAUACCCGAAUGCAGCAAGCCAGCUCCUGAGCAAUCCAAGAAAUUAUCAAAGUGCUCUUGUUUCUUCCCUUAUCUUCCAGGCAGUCAGUGAAUUGGACCAUUACACCCUGCAGAUUCCCUGAAGGACUGUAAUUCAACAUAUUUGCUCCUUAACCACAGUCUGUUACCAGCUAACUUUCCUCCUUGGCACAAUAAAAGGGCUGUUUUUUUGUUUAAAGAGUUGCAGUUCUUUGCUUUAGUAGCAAUUGUAGAUAGCACAGCAGACGGACACUUUAAAUGAUAAAUAAACAGUGCUAAUUUCCUUUUCAUUUUGAAAAGAAGAAAGAGUUAUAAACAACAAUUGACAGCUGAGUACCUCCCUAAAAAGUGCACAGUAAGAGGGAUAUGACAAAGAUGGAAAAGGCACUUGACAGAACAGAUGGAAGUGGAUCUGGCAGGGGAUCUCUAGGAACCAGAAGGAGUUUUGUUACUGGUGUUAAGGGAGCAACAUUGACUACAGUUAAUAGAGCACUUCAGAUAUGGAAUAGUAUAUUUGUUUUUACAUAGAAAAUUGUGUGAAGUUAAGUCAGCUCUCAUCUUCAUGACAUAUAUAUCACAAGUUCUGCAGCUACAGGCUGCUUGAUCUUUGAGGGCAAUUUAUGUUUAAGAUCUUAUUGCUGCUGUUAAAUCACAGUAUUCAAGGAGAAAUUUACAGCAUUUCUGGAAAACCCCAUGGAGACAAACACAGACUUUAGCCUUGUUCAGCAUGUUUGUUCUAUGUUUGUGGGGAUCACCACUAAUGACAUACUCCUUGUAGGAGUAGCAGCAUGGACAUGGUAAACAUCAUACCCAAAUGAACUGUCUCUGCUUAAAAUAGUUCAGAGAUCUUUUUCUCACCUGGAAUGAAUUGAAUAAAAAAUACUUCAACAAUAUCAAAGAAUCUCACUUUUCAAAGUUUUCUUUUGUUUCUGGACUCUACUCCCUGUACUCCAGUGAUCUACACCCUCCUGCUGCUGUACACACUAUGUAGUUGCAAGUUGGCUUUUUAAAGAGAUUUUGAGACAAGGCAUAUAUUCUUAGCCAGUCAAAUAUUUUAAGCCUGCAGUUACACAUUUAGUGAUGGGCAGUUCAAAAGAAAAUGAUGUUACAUAUUACAUCACAAAUACAGUCAGUGUUACAGAUACAAAUUUUACCCUUGAAAUAUAUUCUGUCCAUAUAUAUUCCAUGCCUUGUAGUAUUUCACUUUGCCAAGAUAAAACUUGGAUGAGGUCUGCAUUACUGGAAUGGCUUCAAAACCAACUUCAGGCAGAAAUUAUUUAUAAGUUGUUCACAGCUAAAAUAAAGUCUUCUGCUGCAUGGUGUUCUGACACAGCAGAAUGCUGGCAUAAAGUUCUCCUCAACAGGACCAUGACCUUCAAAAUGACUGCACACAACCCUGUGCUUGCUGUGAUCCACUAACACAGGAGUGUUUGCUCUCCUGAAGUUUCACUGAAAGCUAACAAUAAUACUUUACACAAAAAUACUGCCACGUAAGCAGGACUACUUGUAAGUAUCCAUUCCAGCACACAAGUAAGGGCCGGGGAGGAAGACCAGAUAGCAACUCCUUGGUUACAGAGUUGAACACUGAGGGUCUGGCCUAAAGCUUUAAUGUGUAUUUUACAUCAGUGCAAUUCCCCUAAAACACACAUUUUUACAUGAUAAAAAUGUAAGUAAUGCUGUUGAAAGGUUAAUUGUUAACCCUUCAUUGAAUGGAAAGAUUUCUCCUCUUUUUUUUUUUCCCCAGUAGAAUAUUUUAAGUGUCUCUUUGCAAUUUCAGGUUACACAUAAUAUUCCCCAUAUAUAGAUAAAAGCUUGUCUUUCAGUCCUGGCUGACAUUUAGUUCACCUACACCUAUUUUCUCAUCUCAUGCCCUCAACUCCUUUCUCUGAGAGGUCAUGCAGCUCAGCCCAGAGGAACUGACCAGCCUCAGCUGUGUCUCAGUCAGGUGGGUGCAAAACGGUCCUCAAUUCCUCCAGCCAAUACCCGCAGGUUUCUCUGCUCUGCUGAUACAUUUUAACCUUGAAGUGCUAAAUGACUGUUGUACAUUUGUAAAAGAUACAGGUCUCUUACUUUUACAGCUCCCUUAGUGGGAAUUUUUUUUUUUUUUU